GAUGAACGCUGGCGGCGUGCUUAACACAUGCAAGUCGAACGGGAAAUACUUCAUUGAGACUUCGGUGGAUUUGAUCUAUUUCUAGUGGCGGACGGGUGAGUAACGCGUGGGUAACCUGCCUUAUACAGGGGGAUAACAGUCAGAAAUGGCUGCUAAUACCGCAUAAGCGCACAGAGCUGCAUGGCUCAGUGUGAAAAACUCCGGUGGUAUAAGAUGGACCCGCGUUGGAUUAGCUGGUUGGUGGGGUAACGGCCCACCAAGGCGACGAUCCAUAGCCGGCCUGAGAGGGUGAACGGCCACAUUGGGACUGAGACACGGCCCAGACUCCUACGGGAGGCAGCAGUGGGGAAUAUUGCACAAUGGGGGAAACCCUGAUGCAGCGACGCCGCGUGAAGGAAGAAGUAUCUCGGUAUGUAAACUUCUAUCAGCAGGGAAGACAGUGACGGUACCUGACUAAGAAGCC
rnacentral:rRNA from 1 species